GAGCCUCAACAACUGACUUGGUUAGAGCAUGGUACUGAUAAUGCCAAGGUUGCAGGUUCAAUCCCUGUAUGGUGCA